rnacentral:lncRNA from 1 species
CACAAUGAAUCCAAGGCGUGGAGAGGUAUAUACAAAGAUAAAGCUCCUACAUAUUCAGAACUUCGAUUUAUUUCACUGAAUAUUACUCAUAUUUUAGUGCAACAGCCUCAAGGAUGCCAUCAGAUCUGAAGUUUGGAAAGAACAUCCUUGGAUCGACGGGUCCUGGUAGGCUGAAGGACAAUGUAAAUGGACCAGGUGGGCACUGUUGCUGUACUUUCAUCUCAAAAACUCGAGUAUGCCUUGAAACAAAAUUUUCACCAGUUGUUGUCACACCUCGAACAUGGACCUUUCCAUCACGUUCUAUCUCACAGCUGAACUGACCUGCAACAACAAGUUGUAUCAAUUCGUGGAAUUAUAAAAAUAACAAGAUGCUAAUUCUUGUUGGAACUUGGAAGUCGAAACAAAUGAUGUCUGUGCCGAGAAUUGGGAUAAAGUAGCCUGUAAGAGCUAUACUGUCUAAACAGAUGUUAUAGAUGUGGCAAGUACAUAGAAUAAGGGAACAAAAAAGUAGUGCAGUAAGUGAAUUCUAAUGCAGUAAACAAACACAAGAGUAAAACUAUAAUAUUUCAGGCAUUCCUUUGGGCGACGAUAAAGGUUCUAUCCUGAAUUUGAUACCACUUUUGCUACCUAAAGAAAAUUUUUAGGUGGCAUAGGUCACAUACUGUUACCCCUUAUAACAAGAUGCAAGCAUUGACACCUACUUUUUUUCCUUGAAAUCGCAAGUCUAAAAUUGGACAUACGGUGGAAGCCAACCAAUCCAUUUGAAGAUCCUUACUAGUUUGUCUAUAGACUAAGUUCUGUUCAAUCUCGGAAAAGUAAACAGCAUUCUGGAUUAAACGGAUUAUGAUGCAUCGAGAUAUUCAGCGCAAAAACACUAUCUUCCCUCACGGGACUAGUUAUAUUAGAGUUUAGUAACUUUGUAUAAGCAUUUUUUGAAUUCAAUGAUUGCAUAUAAUCAGACCAAAAUUUAUCUGUAUAUAUCGAUAAACUUAAUCCAACUGCCUAUAUACAUUCUACUUGUUAGAACUAGAAAGCAUAAUUCAAUCCUUAUGUCACCUAUAUGUAUAAUUCUCCUGUCUAUUAUAUUUAAACAGGUUGAUCGAUAUAUAAGAAGGCAAAUAUUACAAAUUUUACAGAAUUUGACAUCUCAUUAUUUAUUAAAUAUGAUUAUAGUAUAAAAACCAGUUCCAAUAUUGGGACAUCAAUUCCACGAUGGUACGUUUUUAAACUUUGAGGCGGCAUCGGAACUUCCACCCAAACUUUAAGGGCUAAAAGGUCAUUAAGCCAGUAAAAUCUCACCCUGAUCCUGGUACAAAUUACAACAUUCUAGUAUGCAAACAUUAAGACAUAACAAACCACAAUGAAUCCAAGGCGUGGAGAGGUAUAUACAAAGAUAAAGCUCCUACAUAUUCAGAACUUCGAUUUAUUUCACUGAAUAUUACUCAUAUUUUAGUGCAACAGCCUCAAGGAUGCCAUCAGAUCUGAAGUUUGGAAAGAACAUCCUUGGAUCGACGGGUCCUGGUAGGCUGAAGGACAAUGUAAAUGGACCAGGUGGGCACUGUUGCUGUACUUUCAUCUCAAAAACUCGAGUAUGCCUUGAAACAAAAUUUUCACCAGUUGUUGUCACACCUCGAACAUGGACCUUUCCAUCACGUUCUAUCUCACAGCUGAACU